rnacentral:rRNA from 1 species
UGGACCUCAGAUCAGGCAAGAUCACCCGCUGAGUUUAAGCAUAUCACUAAGCGGAGAAAAAGAAACUAACGAGGAUUUCCCUAGUAACGGCGAGCGAACCGGAAGUAGCCCAGCUU